ACUGGCCUCAAAUGUGUUGGUAAUGUCACACCUUCUUGUUUCCUACACCCCCGGAAGGCGCGUAUAUAAGGGAAUUUUUCGAAUUAAAGGACAAUCGAAACAGAAUUUAUUAUUUAAAGGUUCAGAGUCGCCACUUGGGAGAUUUAUGGUGUCCCAGGUCACCGGCUUCAAAUCCCGAAUCGAGGAGAGGAUUGACUCUGUAUUACAGUCUACCAACCAGAAAUCUAGGUAAGAAAUUCUAUUAACCCGGGAGAAGAUGUUAGGCAUUCUCGAGUUACGUGGUUCUAGCACGGUCGCUCAACUAUUUUAAUUUUCGUAUUAUCUAAUUUUAAUACAUAUUUUUUCCUAUGGUAUAUUUUUAACUUUUAACCGCCUUUGUUCAUUUUUAAAAAAAUUUAAUGUCAAUUAAAACAUGUCUUUAGAUCGUGCCACAUGAAAUGAACCCACAAUGCGAAACACAUUUUAUUCAAUGUUAUUACGUUUUGGAUUUGGUUCACAUGAAAUGCACACCCGAAUUUAGGAAGACAAUAUUAUCAAAAUAACGCGCCUAAAGCAACUACGCAUUGUUAAUUUUGCGAGGGCCAUGGUGAUUUGCUAAAUGGCUCACCUCAAAUUCUAAGGAUUUUAAAACAAAUAAUUAAAUGAGGGCCAAAAAUUUAAAACGCACCACGAUUACAUUUUAAAGGAUAUUCAAACUAAAGUUCGGGGAGCCACAGUCUAUCGAUAUUAUCUAACACGGCCCACUUCAAAUCAUUAGAGGAGUCUAAUUAAUUAACUAAAGGCCUAAAGUGAUUGAAAUUCCAUUAAGGUAAACCAAUAGCUUAACCUCUAGGAAUCAUUGAAAAAGGAAGUAACAUUUAGUUAAUGUGAAAUCAAAUCAAAAAAAUAAAAGGCCCAAAUCAUAUUCGAAGGAAGUUGUCAAGCAUGGGCCCAGAAAUUAGCCCAAAUUCAAAACCUCAAUGUGCUGAGUGAAGGACUCAGUAUCGAGUCCCUAUAGGCCAAUAACCAGUGAAAUUUAACAAACCCUGGGAUGGACCAAUACAUAUGCAAACAACCUCUGGACUCAUCUUACUUAACAGUAGGCAAUCACACGACAUUUAACAAAUGAUAGCACCGCAGAUUUAAAAUAACAUUGAAAAUCCAAGUUUAACAAUUAGCUAUAGGUCAACCAAAUCUCAAAACUAACUUGAAAUACAGGCUUGAGGACUUAAAUCUCAAAUAGACCUCAUAUGAACAGAACCUUAUUCAAUAAACUGACAACUUAUCAUUUUUCACAGC
rnacentral:lncRNA from 1 species